rnacentral:rRNA from 1 species
GACGAACCGUGCGAACGUUAUUCGGAAUCACUGGGCUUAAAGCGCGUGUAGGCGGAUGGGGACGUCGGUCGCUGAAAUCCCCCGGCUCAACCGGGGAACUGGCCCCGAAACGCCCCGUCUGGAGGAACGUAGGGGGACCUGGAACUUCCGGUGGAGCGGUGAAAUGCGUUGAGAUCGGAAGGAACGCCCGUGGCGAAAGCGAGGUCCUGGACGUUUUCUGACGCUGAGACGCGAAAGCUAGGGUAGCGAACGGGA